AGCUUUUUUGGAAAAUAGUACUUGUUUUGAAAACAAGUUUGAAAUGUUCGAGUCAUUUAAAGGCUU
rnacentral:tRNA from 1 species